UUAUUUAGUCUAAGUUCAGGGGUGUUUUUGUAAUCUACCCAAGAAAUUAAACCUUGAAUUCUGCCCAUUACCAAAACCCUCUUUCCUCCUCCUCCUCCUUCUCACACACAUAAUGGCGGCAAACGACACCGUUCUUCUCCGGUCUUUGGAGCUCCGCCUCCUCCGCUGCUCUCUGCCGUCCGAUUAUCCCUCUCCGCCGCCGUCACCCAGCCAAUCCUUGCCGCAGGUUUCUCCGGCGUUUCCCCGCCUCCACACCCUCCUAGACGACGCCGUAUCUCUCAUCGAGUCAGGUAACUAUCUCCAAGCCCUCGCUUCCUCCCCGGCUUCUAAAACCCUAUUCUCGAGUCUCCAAUUGGACUCGUCCGAGUCCGCUCACCGCUUCUACUCGGAGACGCUGCCCGAGUGCGUCAGCUCGUUUCUGAAUGUUGAUGGCAGCGAAGACUCGGUGGAGUUGGGUUAUAAAGCGUUGAUUGUGAUGGCUGUUGGGGUUUCUGCUUUGCUUGCCUUCACCCAGUGCAACAUUACCGGGCCAGUGGCUAACAUUCCUCUGAUUCCUCUCGUGGAAUUAUCAAUCCACAAGGAUGACAUAGGAGGAGAUGUUUCGACGGAUUGGGAAGCGUGGGCACAUAAGGAACUAAUGUAUGUUGGUUCGGAGUUGAGUGCAAAAUUCUCUAAUUUGCAGUACUUAAUUUUUGGAAAGACUCUCCUCACGAGGAUGAAAGAUGUGCUAUUUCAAGGAGAUUUUUCUACAAUAGAUGGAGUAAGAAGCAUCACAUGGUGGUUGGCCAGAGCUUUCUUCUUGCAUCAGAAAUUGUUGAAUGAACGUUCAUCGACUAUCUACGAUAUGUUACAAGUCCUUACACAUGAAAGUUUGCUUUACAUGGGAACCUUGGAGAAGAUUAAAGAUUACUGGUGUGCAAAUGAAGAUUGUUCGACUAUUCUAGGGAUGCUUCAUUUGGAAGUGGGGAUGCUGGAACUCUAUUACGGCCGUGUAGAUACUUCCAAACUACAUUUUGAAUCAGCUGCAUCGAUAUCCAAUUAUAAUCUUGUUGUGAGUGGGGCUCUCGGAUUUCGAACACAGCAUCAGGUGGAACCGAAAGCACAACUUCGUCUUGUUGCUCGAACAAAUGUUGGAGAUACCGUUACUCCAGUAACCGACGAGCCAAGCAUUACCGACAAUUCUCCACUUCAUACAAAUUCUGAAACCUAUGAAGCAUCUGAUGUAAUGAUGACCCCUAGAUUCGUAGCAAAUGGGGGGCAGUCUAAAAGUGUUGAGCAAGCCUCUGAAUUGAAGGCAGUACACCAAGCAUUGGUUCUGGCUCAGUGCCUUUCUAUUGAGAAAAACACUCGUAAAGAUGAAUUGCAAAGUUGGGAAAUGGCUCCAUACAUAGAGGCAAUUGAUUCUCAGAGUUCAUCUCCAUUCAUUCUUCAAUGUUUGUGCAACAUAUUACGUGUCCGGUGGGAGUCAAGCCGUGGUAGAACGAAACAACGUGCCUUAAUGAUGAUGGAUAACCUCGUCGAAAGCAUACACAACCAUUCUCCCGGAGUUGCUCAAAGAUUAUAUUACUGUUUCGCUGUUAACAUGCCCUCAAUUCCUGCUCUGCGCAAGGAAUUUGGCGAUCUUUUAGUAAGUUGUGGCCUGACAGGGGAAGCAAUCAAAAUUUACGAGGAUCUCGAGCUAUGGGACAAUCUAAUUUUCUGUUACCAAUUAAUGGAUAAGAAAGCAGCUGCAGUUGAACUCAUCAAGAAACGGCUCUCCGAAAAGCCAUCCGACCCAAGGCUAUGGUGUUCGCUCGGUGAUGUCACUAACGACGACGCUUCUUACGAAAAAGCCCUCGAAGUAUCGGCCCGUCGUUCGGCCCGAGCAUUCCGUUCGCUCGCCCGGUCAGCCUACAAUCGAGGAGAAUAUGAAAAGUCUAAGUUUUUAUGGGAAUCUGCAAUGAGUUUGAACUCCAUGCAUCCAGAUGGAUGGUUUGCUUUUGGUGCAGCUGCUUUAAAAUCAAGGGAUGUUGAUAAGGCGUUGGAUGCUUUCACACGGGCGGUUCAACUCGACCCGGAAAACGGAGAAGCUUGGAAUAAUAUCGCUUGUUUGCAUAUGGUUAAAAAGAGGAAUAAAGAGGCUUUUAUCGCGUUUAAGGAAGCACUUAAACUGAAACGGAACAGCUGGCAAAUGUGGGAGAAUUACGGCCAAGUUGCUGCGGAUAUUGGAAACUUCGGCCAGGUGAUGGAAGCUGUACAGAAGGUGAUGGACAUUAGUCAAAAGAAGAGAUUCGACCCUGAGUUGUUGGAACGAGUUAUGGUAGAGAUUGAAAAGCGAGUCGACUCGAAUGCUGACCUGGCUUCUUCGGAAGUUGACUCUGCUGGAAGUAGGGAAACCGAGCACUUGAUUGAAUUGAUCGGGAAAAUCUUGAAGCAGAUUGUGCAGGGUGGGGGGAGUGCCGAGACAUGGGGGUUGUACGCCAGGUGGCAUAAACUGAAAGGGGAUCUUACAAUGUGCUCAGAGGCGCUUCUGAAGCAAGUUAGGUCGUAUCAGGGUUCGGAUUUGUGGAAGGAUAAGGACAAGUUUGUAAAGUUUGCACACGCUUCGCUGGAACUUUGUAAGGUGUAUCAAGAACUUGCCUUGCGUGGGACCAGUCGUAGAGAGCUGUUUGCCGCCGAGAUGCAUUUGAAGAGUUCAAUUAAACAGGCUGUGAAUUUUUCGGACACUGAAGAGUUGAGAAGCCUCGUAGCUUGUCUUGAAGACGUGCAAGCUGCGAUAAAAGCUGUCUCGUUGCCUGGUGCAUGAAGUCUCAACUCCGUUUUUGUUUCCACCUAGGUUGUUCGGUAUGGUGUACAUUUAAAUUAAGAUUUUGGAUGAUACAAAUUGCACAAAGAAAAAAUGAGAGCUAAUUGCCGGAGCUCCAACAGUGAGCAGAAUAAAUGCACUACAAAGGCGUUUACAAGACGUUUCUCGUGGACUAUCCAUGCUUUCAGUAUCUGGUAUUCAUAUAUAAAUAUUACGGCACUCGAACAUUAUCACUGGUCGUAUGAACGAGUUUAACAAACUAUCUUACACAAGACUAUUGAAGCAACCGCAUUGGGAUAUUGUUGUUGUAACUUUUAUUUGAUAUAUAUUCUUGUAUACAAGUAAUUGUUAUGUGUGGUAACAUGUAUUUUCAAAUUGUGAUUCUUUUGCAGCAUUAUAAAUACGUAUAUUACAGCUAGGUUUAACUAUUGAUUUCGAAUAAAUUCAAUUUUGGAAGUUUUUUUUUAA